AAAGUCGUAACAAGGUUUCCGUAGGUGAACCUGCGGAAGGAUCAUUACAAUUCAGUAGCUUGCUACUGUAAGGAGGUGCUGUAAGCCCGCAUAGUUUAAUUACUGAUGAGCGGCAGGCCCUCUGUUUGUACCCUUGUCUCUUGCGCACUCAUGUUUCCUCGGCGGGCUUGCCCGCCGAUUGGACAAAACUAUAACCUUUUUAAUUUUCAAUCAGCGUCUGAAAAAACUUAAUAAUUACAACUUUCAACAACGGAUCUCUUGGUUCUG
rnacentral:misc_RNA from 1 species